CUGAGCCGGAAGCAUCUUCAUCUUCUUUAACUUUCACGACAACCUGGUGGUUUUCGUCUGCACUCGUGGGCAAGGAAGCUGAGCAGAGAUACGCUGAGGGACCUGUCCGGAGGGCCCCACUGACACGGGGGACAAGUUCCUGAAUGGUCUUGGCUGAUCCAGGUCUCCCCCUCUUUCUGACAAUUCUUGGGUGGAAUGUACUGAGAAUGCAGCAUCCUGAGAUAAGGAAGAACCAUCCAGAACAGCCCAUGCUUUGUCUUUGUUCCUCCCAGAACAGGACGCCCUGUAAGGCUUAAGCUCAGGGAGACUACUUGUUCUCAUUCUUCUGAUGCAGCCUCAAGGACAAAUGGCCUCGCUUUUGGUAACCUGUUCAUCCUUGCUGUCUA